GGAGGUGGUCUAAUAAGUCAGUGGUGAAAUCCCUUUGCUUAACAAGGAAAUUGCCAUUGAAACUGUUAGACUUGAGAAUGGACGAGGUAGGCGGAAUUCGUAGCGUAGCGGUGAAAUGCAUAGAUAUUACGAAGAACUCCAAUAGUGUAGACUGCUUACCAGACCAUAUCUGACACUAAGGCACGAAAGUGUGGGUAUCAAACAGGAUUAGAUACCCUGGUAGUCCACACAGUAAACGAUGAAUACUAACUGUUUGCGAUAUACAGCAAGUGGUCGAGCGAAAGCGUUAAGUAUUCCACCUGGGAAGUAUGCCGGCAACGGUGAAACUCAAAGGAAUUGACGGGGGCCCGCACAAGCGGAGGAACAUGUGGUUUAAUUCGAUAAUACGCGAGGAACCUUACCCGGGCUCGAACGAUAUUUGAAUACAUCCGAAAAGAUGUAGCUAGCAAUAGCAAAUACCGAGGUGCUGCAUGGUUGUCGUCAGCUCGUGCCGUGAGGUGUCGACUUAAGUGUCAUAACGAGCGCAACCCUUACCGAUAGUUACCAUCAGAUAAUGCUGGGGACUCUAUUGGGACUGCCACCGUAAGGUGUGAGGAAGGAGAGGAUGACGUCAAAUCAGCACGGCCCUUAUGUCCGGGGCGACACACGUGUUACAAUGGGAGAAACAAAGGGUCGCUACCUGGCAACAGGAUGCUAAUCUCGAAAAUCUCUCUCAGUUCGGAUUGGAGUCUGCAACUCGACUCCAUGAAGCUGGAUUCGCUAGUAAUCGCACAUCACCCAUGGUGCGGUGAAUACGUUCCCGGGCCUUGUACACACCGCC
rnacentral:rRNA from 1 species